UGCUAUCAGGUAAAGCGCUAGAAAGGUCAUCGCGCUUUGCACCUCUGUUGGAUUGCAGUUAUCUUCUGCAUAGCAUCUAGGCCUUAUGCCGCGAACCGAUGCAGACAAAGCUAAAAGCGUCAUUCCCUGUGCAAAAGAUUUCAACUACUAGGUUCCGUGAUUACCUAUGAUAAACGGGCAGGUUCUCCAGGUUCCAGUUUUCUUCUUAUUAGCAGGAUUUCCUUUGUAAUCCACUGUCCCAUCGUUUGUAUAGAUAUCAUCUUCUUCCAUUGAUUUCCUGAAAGACCAAGAAUUUGAGAUUUUAAGUCUAUAUUAUGAAGGAAUUAUAGAUGUAGUUAGCAAAGAAACUCCACAGAGUAUGACUCGAUAUAGCCUACUCAAUGUGAAAAGUUUGUACUAAGAUCCAAUGGAUGAAAUGAGUAGCAUUGAAUCUUUGACUUGCUUGCA